rnacentral:lncRNA from 10 species
UUCUGAUCCCGGACGACCGUAAGGUGCAAACUCAAAGACCUACUUCCAAGCUGCCGUCCAUGUGCUGCCCAAUGAAGCUGCAACACGUGAACCUCUGUGGAAGGCGCCCACCUUUUCUCCAGUCCUUCUCUCACUGAGUGCCCUAUCAAAAUGGAAGAAUCCCUGAAUGAACCCAUUUCAAGUUUGAAUUGUGGUAAAAUAUUGCAAUCCCAAGUGUUGGUUGCCUACAGCUUCCUACUGAUUUUGGCUGGUGUCUAAAAAGAAGCUUUGAGAGAAGAAAAAUAGCUCCAAGCAUUCUGAGCUCUGUAAAGUACUCGGGACCAGAGAGACAGGAGUGUGAGACUUCAGUCAUGCCUGCCUCCAGCCCUCCCCUGCCCCAUACCUGGGGUCAAUUGUUUAAGAUCAUAUGGUAAAGGAACCAGUGGAAGACACAGACCCUAGCACUUUAUCCUUUAAUAUGUCAGACAAAUAUCCCAUUCAAGAUACGGAACUCCCUAAAGCUGAAGAAUGUGAUACAAUUACUUUGAACUGCCCACGAAAUUCAGAUAUGAAAAAUCAGGGAGAAGAAAAUGGCUUUCCAGAUAGCACUGGAGAUCCUCUUCCAGAGAUCAGCAAGGACAACUCCUGCAAAGAAAACUGUACUUGUUCCUCCUGCUUG